CUCAGAUUGAACGCUGGCGGCAUGCCUUACACAUGCAAGUCGAACGGCAGCACGGGAGCAAUCCUGGUGGCGAGUGGCGAACGGGUGAGUAAUACAUCGGAACGUGCCCUGUCGUGGGGGAUAACUAGUCGAAAGAUUAGCUAAUACCGCAUACGACCUGAGGGUGAAAGCGGGGGACCGCAAGGCCUCGCGCGAUAGGAGCGGCCGAUGUCUGAUUAGCUAGUUGGUGGGGUAAAGGCCCACCAAGGCGACGAUCAGUAGCUGGUCUGAGAGGACGAUCAGCCACACUGGGACUGAGACACGGCCCAGACUCCUACGGGAGGCAGCAGUGGGGAAUUUUGGACAAUGGGGGCAACCCUGAUCCAGCAAUGCCGCGUGUGUGAAGAAGGCCUUCGGGUUGUAAAGCACUUUUGUCCGGAAAGAAAUCCCUUGCUCUAAUAAAGCGGGGGGAUGACGGUACCGGAAGAAUAAGCACCGGCUAACUACGUGCCAGCAGCCGCGGUAAUACGUAGGGUGCGAGCGUUAAUCGGAAUUACUGGGCGUAAAGCGUGCGCAGGCGGUUUUGUAAGACAGGCGUGAAAUCCCCGAGCUCAACUUGGGAAUGGCGCUUGUGACUGCAAGGCUAGAGUAUGUCAGAGGGGGGUAGAAUUCCACGUGUAGCAGUGAAAUGCGUAGAGAUGUGGAGGAAUACCGAUGGCGAAGGCAGCCCCCUGGGACGUCACUGACGCUC
rnacentral:rRNA from 2 species